UAUACUGUGAAACUGCGAAUGGCUCAUUAAAUCAGUUAUCGUUUAUUUGAUAGUACCUUACUACUUGGAUAACCGUGGUAAUUCUAGAGCUAAUACAUGCUAAAAACCGCGACUUCGGAAGCGGUGUAUUUAUUAGAUAAAAAACCAAUGCCCUUCGGGGCUCCUUGGUGAUUCAUGAUAACUUAACGAAUCGCAUGGCCUUGCGCCGGCGAUGGUUCAUUCAAAUUUCUGCCCUAUCAACUUUCGAUGGUAGGAUAGUGGCCUACCAUGGUAUCAACGGGUAACGGGGAAUUAGGGUUCUAUUCCGGAGAGGGAGCCUGAGAAACGGCUACCACAUCCAAGGAAGGCAGCAGGCGCGCAAAUUACCCAAUCCCGACACGGGGAGGUAGUGACAAUAAAUACUGAUACAGGGCUCUUUUGGGUCUUGUAAUUGGAAUGAGUACAAUUUAAAUACCUUAACGAGGAACAAUUGGAGGGCAAGUCUGGUGCCAGCAGCCGCGGUAAUUCCAGCUCCAAUAGCGUAUAUUAAAGUUGUUGCAGUUAAAAAGCUCGUAGUUGAACCUUGGGCCUGGCUGGCCGGUCCGCCUCACCGCGUGUACUGGUCCGGCCGGGCCUUUCCUUCUGGGGAUCCGCAUGCCCUUCACUGGGUGUGUCGGGGAACCAGGACUUUUACUUUGAAAAAAUUAGAGUGUUCAAAGCAGGCCUUUGCUCGAAUACAUUAGCAUGGAAUAAUAGAAUAGGACGUGCGGUCCUAUUUUGUUGGUUUCUAGGACCGCCGUAAUGAUUAAUAGGGAUAGUCGGGGGCAUCAGUAUUCAAUUGUCAGAGGUGAAAUUCUUGGAUUUAUUGAAGACUAACUACUGCGAAAGCAUUUGCCAAGGAUGUUUUCAUUAAUCAGUGAACGAAAGUUAGGGGAUCGAAGACGAUCAGAUACCGUCGUAGUCUUAACCGUAAACUAUGCCGACUAGGGAUCGGGCGAUGUUAUUCUUUUGACUCGCUCGGCACCUUACGAGAAAUCAAAGUC
rnacentral:rRNA from 1 species